GACACCUGAUUCCUGCAAAGAACCGGAGGGAUGAUUUCUGUGCGUGGAUCAGACUGGUGGAGUGAAGGAGACUGUUGCUUAACCUGUAAGAUACUUUUGACCAGAAAAAGAAACUGAAAACAGAUGUGACCUUUUCUCUUAAUGAUUUGGGCAGUCACCCUGGUUACCUACUGCUGAGUAAUGUACAACAGUAGAGGAGUGGGCACAGGCUUUCUAGCUAUAGUGUAAAGGAAACAAAGUGAAAAACCAUUAAAACAAUAAAUGACAUCUAAUAGCUUCCCAAGAAAACAGGCAGUGUUUUUACAAGAAGGAAAUGAAAGACAAAGACAUAAAACAGAAAACAAAGAUUUUUACGACGGGUUUUAAAAUAAGAAUCAUAAAAGCGAUGAUGGGAGCAAAGAAGUCAAAAAACUUGAACCUGAAAGAGAAAACAGUAUUUAGGACUGACAAUAGAGAAGAAAAUAUGCCAAGGUCAUAUGAAGAGGAUAAACAGAGAAAGACAAGGAGACAGGAAGAAUUUGUUUGAGCACAGCAAUUUCUAUCACAUUUCAGGGAGAUAUGCAAAGAAAAGGAAGAAAUGGAAGAACAAACCAAAUAAAUACAGUAACUAGAAAAGCACAGAUGUGCACAGUUGUUUUAUCUCCACUGAAACUACAAAGUAAAGAAAGAGCUUUUGAAGAACAGCUUUUUAAAAAAAGAACAACAAAAACCUCCUUGGCAAUUCAUCUGACUUGCAGAAAGUUUAGAA